rnacentral:lncRNA from 1 species
CUUAUUUUAGACGAGCUGCUGAUGUAGCAAUACAAAGUAGAAGGACCUGAAUGUGAAAACAAAAGUCAACAAGUGCCGAAGUGUGAAGAGGAAAGGAUCAACUUGUGUUAUAAGAGGAAAAGGAGAGGGGCAAAAUGGAAAAGGAGGGGGUUAAAUCCCUAGCUUCAAUCCCCUUCGAGCCUGGCAUUCCCUCUCCCUUCCCCUAGCCUCCUGCUCCACCGGCGGCCAGGCCAGCGUGGCGGCGCGCCACCGAAGCUGCUGCUGCCCUUCCCGAGAUCCACUACUUCUCCUCCUCAAGACCGCCUCCGCCGGGCAGCGGACUGCUGUGCACCUCUCCUCCAACCUGAAGCUGCAGCCCAUCAAGAGAAGCUCGCCUCCAACUCAACCUGCUGCUCACCUCUGCCCCUGUCCCCCGGCGAAGUCAAGGACGACGCUUGCUGCCUCCUCUUCAUCAACGUGUGCAACUUCUUCCCUUCCCCAACUCCUGCUGCUCUUCUCCUUGGGUGAAUGCCCAUCAAAAUCUCUCUCCCUUUCCCCCCUGUUGCUUGCUGUUUGUAUGGACUAAAAGUGAGAACAUGUGUUGAUUUUGUGUGCCUACAAGCUGUUUGUUUAAAUGUCAGUGAGAAACCUUGUCAAUUGUUGAGUUGUUCUACUGUGAUAUUUGUGAGCUAUAAAUUAUAUUUUGUCCUAAGAUUUGUGUGAUAUCUACUAGUGUGUGAUUUAAUUUUCUGUGAUAUUACAUAUGUUAGUUGCCCUGUUAUGUAUUCUUUCCCAUACCUAAACAAUUUGCUUCUCUCUCCCAUUCUUAUAUGUUUGCUCGUGAAUAUUUAUUAUGCCUAGUAAUCGUUUCUGUCCAGUGAUGUUUGCAUAAACGAAACUACUAAAAAUAUUUGCACUGUUUGUUACAAAUUCCAAAAUCUGUUCCUGUGAUCUAGCUUUAACCGAGCAUUGUUGUCGCUGCAUAGUCCCUGUGGAGAACCUCGACAAAAAAACUACUGUAUUUGCAUUGAUCAGUGGCCCUCGGGGUUCUUCCAGGUGUUCACAACAUUGGGAAUCUUCCACUCGUCUUGGGGCCCCCUCGGCCGAGGCGGCGAGCUCAUCACCGGCACCGACGGCGACCCGGCUGGAUGGCUGGGCGCUCGCCUCCACAUGAUCUUGGACGGACCGGUCGGGUCGGACGAAAUCUUGAUAAACCCGCGGAUGAUCCCCGUCCGUCCCAUGGGCUGCUGCACCGGCCGUGGCUUGGAAUUGAUGAAAGGCUGGUGCGGCGGGGUGCUCGCCGCGGCGGGCUGCACUUGCACGGUGGCGAGGCGGGCCGGGGCGCUGAUCUUCUCGUCGGCGACCAUCGGGACGGCAUCGUCGGGCUCGAUCCCGCGAUCUUCGGUGUGGAUUCUUCCAUGGCGGAAUUAGGGUUUUCGUGAUUGUUUUGGGUUGGGGAAUUUUACUGCGUCGUAAACCCUAAACCCACGCAGAGGUACGUGUGGCUUUAUGAAGUACUAGCAAGUUGGCACG